rnacentral:lncRNA from 10 species
GUCUUGCUCUGUCACCCAGGCUGGAGCACAAUGGCACAAUCAUAGCUCACUAUAACCUCGGACUCCUGGGCUCAAGGAUCCUCCUAUCUCUGCCUUCCAAGAGCUGGGACAACAGGUCGGACACAUAUGUUCUUCAGAUCAGAAAUUCAACUGAUAAAGAUACUUCUGAAUUUACAACUGCUUGGUUUUAAGAAAAAUGUAUCCAAGACAGAGGAGUUUGUUCAAAAGUCUCCAUUUUUUCCCCUAGCACUGUACACUGUUAUUUUAUGAUUCAUUCAGUUACCAAACAUUUGUUGAAUACAAACUAUGCACAAGGCAAAUGCUAUGAUAAUGCGCAAAUUUGCAUUCGCAUUAAAUUUUCCUUAAUUUGAGCUAUAAAAUACAAUUAACUAAAGAUAUUGCAUUAUAUAUUAUUAUUUAUAUAAUCCCACAUGUAACUGGAUCAAACAUUGAAUUGGAAAUUGAGGGAAAUUGGUUAAAAUCAAAUAAGUGUGUGUGUGUAUAAUUUUCUGUUAAAAGAUAUGAAUUGUCAGAUGGGAAAAAAUUUCUUGCUUUAAGCAAGUACUGACCCAAAAUAUUAAAUAAAAAUAGUCCAUUUAGAAUCUACUUACAGAGUACUCAUGCACUGUGUAAAAUGCUAAUGAUGAGGGAGAAAAUGAGUCUCCUUCACUCUUUCACUCAUCUCUUGGGCUAAGGGCAUGAGAUCUGAUAGCCAUUGUCACUUACAGCUACACACAUCUUCAGCAAUUAUAAAUUUACACGUUUUUCCCUCCAGUUAAUGUAGCUAAAUUUUAUUUUAUCUUCUAAGUACUACACAUUACUUUUAUCAAUACUACUUUCUCUAGGAAGAAUUUG